rnacentral:rRNA from 1 species
UGAACGCUGACAGAAUUAGCUUAACACAUGCAAGUCUACUUGAUCCUUCGGGUGAAGGUGGCGGACGGGUGAGUAACGCGUAAAGAACUUGCCUUACAGACUGGGACAACAUUUGGAAACGAAUGCUAAUACCGGAUAUUAUGACUGAGUCGCAUGAUUUGGUUAUGAAAGCUAUAUGCGCUGUGAGAGAGCUUUGCGUCCCAUUAGUUAGUUGGUGAGGUAACGGCUCACCAAGACGAUGAUGGGUAGCCGGCCUGAGAGGGUGAACGGCCACAAGGGGACUGAGACACGGCCCUUACUCCUACGGGAGGCAGCAGUGGGGAAUAUUGGACAAUGGACCAAAAGUCUGAUCCAGCAAUUCUGUGUGCACGAUGAAGUUUUUCGGAAUGUAAAGUGCUUUCAGUUGGGCAAGAAGUCAGUGACGGUACCAACAGAAGAAGCGACGGUAAAUACGUGCCAGCAGCCGCGGUAAUACGUAUGUCGCAAGCGUUAUCCGGAUUUAUUGGGCGUAAAGCGCGUCUAGGCGGUUUAGUAAGUCUGAUGUGAAAAUGCGGGGCUCAACCCCGUAUUGCGUUGGAAACUGUAAACUAGAGUACUGGACGAGGUAGGCGGAACUACCCAGUGUAGAGGUGAAAUUCGCAGAUAUCGGUAGGAAUGCCGAUGGGGAACCAGCCUACUGGACACAGAUA